AAAUUGAAGAGUUUGAUCAUGGCUCAGAUUGAACGCUGGCGGCAGGCCUAACACAUGCAAGUCGAGCGGCAGCGGGAAAGUAGCUUGC
rnacentral:rRNA from 1 species